AGUGAACGCUGGCGGCAGGCCUAAUACAUGCAAGUCGAACGGCAGCACAGCAGAGCUUGGCUCUGUGGGUGGCGAGUGGCGGACGGGUGAGGAAUACGUGGGAAUCUGCCCAGUCGUGGGGGAUAACGUAGGGAAACUUACGCUAAUACCGCAUGCGCCCUUCGGGGAAAGCCGGGGACCUUCGGGCCUGGCGCGAUUGGAUGAGCCCAGUCGGAUUAGCUAGUGGCGGGUAAGCCCACCAAGGCGACGAUCCGUAGCUGGUCUGAGAGGAUGAUCAGCCACACUGGAACUGAGACACGGUCCAGACU
rnacentral:rRNA from 1 species